UACAGAGGUCCCAAGCGUUGUUCGGAUUCAUUGGGCGUAAAGGGUGCGUAGGCGGCGCGGUAAGUCGGAUGUGAAAUCCCCAGGCUCAACCUGGGAACUGCAUCCGAUACUGGAUGGCUUGAAUUCGGGAGAGGGAUGCAGAAUUCCAGGUGUAGCGGUGAAAUGCGUAGAUAUCUGGAGGAAUACCGGUGGCGAAGGCGGCAUCCUGGACCGACAUUGACGCUGAGGAGCGAAAGCCAGGGGAGCAAACGGG
rnacentral:rRNA from 1 species